UACGUAGGUGACAAGCGUUGUCCGGAUUUACUGGGCGUAAAGAGCGCGUAGGCGGUCGCGCACGUCCGUUGUGAAAUCGCUCGGCUCAACUGGGCGGGGUCAGCGGAUACGGCGUGGCUGGAGCAAGCUAGGGGGCAAUGGAAUUCCCGGUGUAGUGGUGGAAUGCGUAGAUAUCGGGAGGAACACCAGUGGCGAAGGCGGUUGCCUGGAGCUUUGCUGACGCUGAUGCGCGAAAGCGUGGGGAGCGAUCCGG
rnacentral:rRNA from 1 species